UGGCUGGAGAGCUGAGUUGAUAAUGGCCU
rnacentral:piRNA from 1 species